rnacentral:rRNA from 1 species
GAUGAACGCUGGCGGCGUGCUUAACACAUGCGAGUCGAACGAUGAAGCCCAGCUUGCUGGGUGGAUUAGUGGCGAACGGGUGAGUAACACGUGAGUAACCUGCCCUUGACUCUGGGAUAAGCCUGGGAAACUGGGUCUAAUACUGGAUAUGACUUCUCAUCGCAUGGUGGGGGGUGGAAAGAUUUAUUGGUCUUGGAUGGACUCGCGGCCUAUCAGCUUGUUGGUGAGGUAAUGGCUCACCAGGGCGACGACGGGUAGCCGGCCUGAGAGGGUGACCGGCCACACUGGGACUGAGACACGGCCCAGACUCCUACGGGAGGCAGCAGUGGGGAAUAUUGCACAGUGGGCGCAAGCCUGAUGCAGCGACGCCGCGUGAGGGAUGACGGCCUUCGGGUUGUAAACCUCUUUCAGUAGGGAAGAAGCGAGAGUGACGGUACCUGCAGAAGAAGCGCCGGCUAACUACGUG